CAAGAGUACGUGAAACUGUUCAGGGGUAAACCUGAGAAACCCGAAAGAUCGAAUGAGGAGAUUCAUCGUCAACGAAUGAUCGGCUUCCAUGUGGUUCGCGAUGUUUGAGAUGGUACUUUUAACCGGUAUUCAUUGAUUUCACGUGUCCGCUGUGGUAUGUCCGAUCGCGACGACGUGCACUUCUCCUCUAGUAGAACGUCGCGACCCGCUGGGUGUCGGUUUAAGGACCGGGGUGUUCGACUGUUGCGUUUCGUUUCGGCGUUACGAUGAUAGACCCUCGGAUUCUCCCGACCGACUGCUCGGCGGUAUUAGACUUAUGGUAUAGAGCCGCACUUGAAUGCGUUCAGACUCGUUACAAGCUCGAUCGUUUUUAACUCGAUGUUACGGACAUUGUGCCGUGCAAUCUUGAACGAUUGGCUGUUGGUUGACGAUGUUCUCGAACCGGCUAAUUCAAAAACAAAUCUAUUACCUGUCGGCGACGCUAUUGCUUUGGGUACUUUCAGGACCCGUCUUGAAACACGGACCAAGGAGUCUAACAUGUGCGCGAGUCAUUGGGAUUUAUUUAAACCUAAAGGCGUAUUGAAAGAAAAGAUUGAUCUUGCAUCGAUCGAGGGAGGAUGGGUGUCGUGUGUGUGUGUGAAACAGUCACACACACUAGUUGCCUCGCACUCCCGGGGCGUCUCGUUGUCAUUGCGACAUGAGGCGCACCUAGAGCGUACACGUUGGGACCCGAAAGAUGGUGAACUAUGCCUGGUCAGGAUGAAGUCAGGGGAAACCCUGAUGGAAGUCCGUAGCGAUUCUGACGUGCAAAUCGAUCGUCGGAACUGGGUAUAGGGGCGA
rnacentral:rRNA from 1 species